rnacentral:rRNA from 1 species
GUCGAGCGGUAACAGGCGUAGCAAUACGUGCUGACGAGCGGCGAACGGGUGAGUAACGCUUCGGAAUCUGCCCAAUGGUGGGGAAUAACCAGCCGAAAGGUUGGCUAAUACCGCAUGAGCCCUACGGGGGAAAGCGGGGGAUCGCAAGACCUCGCGCCGAUGGAUGAGCCGAAGCCGGAUUAGCUAGUUGGUAGGGUAACGGCCUACCAAGGCGACGAUCCGUAGCUGGUCUGAGAGGACGACCAGCCACACUGGGACUGAGACACGGCCCAGACUCCUACGGGAGGCAGCAGUGGGGAAUAUUGGACAAUGGGGGAAACCCUGAUCCAGCGACGCCGCGUGUGUGAAGAAGGCCUGCGGGUUGUAAAGCACUUUUAGUGGGGAUGAAAAGCUCAGAGCUAACACCUCUGGGUCUUGACCUAACCCACAGAAAAAGCACCGGCUAACUCUGUGCCAGCAGCCGCGGUAAUACAGAGGGUGCAAGCGUUAAUCGGAAUUACUGGGCGUAAAGCGUACGUAGACGGUUGGAUAAGUCGGAUGUGAAAGCCCCGGGCUCAACCUGGGAAUGGCAUUCGAGACUGUGCAGCUAGGGUGCGGAAGAGGGAAGCGGAAUUUCCGGUGUAGCGGUGAAAUGCGUAGAUAUCGGAAGGAACACCAGUGGCGAAAGCGGCUUCCUGGUCCAGCACCGACGUUCA